CUGCCAGCAGAAGACCCGCGAAC
rnacentral:rRNA from 3 species